UGUCUUGAAUUUUUCUUAAAAAAGACUAUUUUAUGUAUUGAUAGUCUGACUAUCUAUGGCAAUAAACCGUCUAUGUAAUAGGCGUUGCGGACCCGGGGGCGGUACCCGGCGUCUCCACCAAUUUCCUUUAUGGGGACGAAACAGGAUCGACGUGCGUAAUAAAGAUAUUCGUUUUGCUCGGAAUGGUACCAACGUUAUCGGACUAAAUUUGAUAAGAGGCAACGUAAGUUCUUCUUCAACUGGUGCUGCUCGUGGUCAAACACGUACAGCAGCUAAUGCUAACAACCGCAGAGCUAGCAAUAGCAAUACGCGUCGUGACGCAGUAGCUAAAGCUGCUUAAAAGUUCGUUUUACGAAUAAUACAGUAGUUUUCCAGUAGCGGUUUGGGGGGCCCCGGGCAACAGAAUGCCCCCCACU
rnacentral:tmRNA from 1 species